AUACGGAGGGUGCAAGCGUUAAUCGGAAUUACUGGGCGUAAAGCGCGCGUAGGCGGUUUAGUAAGUCGGAUGUGAAAGCCCUGGGCUCAACCUGGGAAUUGCAUUCGAUACUGCUGGACUAGAGUAUGGUAGAGGGAAGUGGAAUUUCCGGUGUAGCGGUGGAAUGCGUAGAUAUCGGAAGGAACACCAGUGGCGAAGGCGACUUCCUGGGCCAAUACUGACGCUGAGGUGCGAAAGCGUGGGGAGCAAACAGGAUUAGAUACCCCGGUAGUCC
rnacentral:rRNA from 1 species